GUCCACGCCGUAAACGAUGAGUGCUAGAUGUUUCUGGUAUUGACCCCGGAGGCGUCGUAGCUAACGCGUUAAGCACUCCGCCUGGGGAGUACGGCCGCAAGGCUAAAACUCAAAGGAAUUGACGGGGCCCGCACAAGCGGUGGAGCAUGUGGUUCAAUUCGACGCAACGCGAAGAACCUUACCUGGGUUGGAACCCUCCAGAAGUCCGCAGAGAUGUGGAUGUGCCCGCAAGGGAAUUGGAUGUCCAGGUGCUGCAUGGCUGUCGU
rnacentral:rRNA from 1 species